rnacentral:rRNA from 1 species
UGGGGAAUAUUGGACAAUGGGCGAAAGCCUGAUCCAGCCAUGCCGCGUGAGUGAUGAAGGCCCUAGGGUUGUAAAGCUCUUUUGUGCGGGAAGAUAAUGACGGUACCGCAAGAAUAAGCCCCGGCUAACUUCGUGCCAGCAGCCGCGGUAAUACGAAGGGGGCUAGCGUUGCUCGGAAUCACUGGGCGUAAAGGGUGCGUAGGCGGGUUUCUAAGUCAGAGGUGAAAGCCUGGAGCUCAACUCCAGAACUGCCUUUGAUACUGGAAGUCUUGAGUUCGGGAGAGGUGAGUGGAACUGCGAGUGUAGAGGUGAAAUUCGUAGAUAUUCGCAAGAACACCAGUGGCGAAGGCGGCUCACUAUACUUAAAUUGACGCUCAUGGACGAAAGCGUGGGGAGCAAACA